rnacentral:rRNA from 1 species
GACGAACGCUGGCGGCGUGCUUAACACAUGCAAGUCGAGCGGAAAGGCCCUUCGGGGUACUCGAGCGGCGAACGGGUGAGUAACACGUGAGUAAUCUGCCCCAUGCUUCGGGAUAGCCAUCCGAAAGGAUGAUUAAUACCGGAUACGACACCCCCUGGCAUCGGGGGGUGUGGAAAGUUUUUUCGGCGUGGGAUGUGCUCGCGGCCUAUCAGCUUGUUGGUGGGGUAAUGGCCUACCAAGGCUUCGACAGGUAGCCGGCCUGAGAGGGUGACCGGCCACACUGGGACUGAGACACGGCCCAGACUCCUACGGGAGGCAGCAGUGGGGAAUAUUGGACAAUGGGCGGAAGCCUGAUCCAGCAACGCCGCGUGAGGGAUGACGGCCUUCGGGUUGUAAACCUCUUUCAGCACAGACGAAGCGCAAGUGACGGUAUGUGCAGAAGGAGGACCGGCCAACUACGUGCCAGCAGCCGCAGUAACAC